AAAGGGCGUCUCGCUUUCACCUGUGACCUUGGUUUGAAAAUAUUGCGAUACUAAGGCACGCGGUGAAUGCCAAACGCUCUGUU
rnacentral:pre_miRNA from 1 species